GACGUAGGGCGCGAGCGUUGUCCGGAUUUAUUGGGCGUAAAGAGCUCGUAGGCGGUUUGUCGCGUCUGCUGUGAAAACCUAAGGCUCAACCUUGGGCUUGCAGUGGGUACGGGCAGACUAGAGUGUGGUAGGGGAGACUGGAAUUCCUGGUGUAGCGGUGGAAUGCGCAGAUAUCAGGAGGAACACCGAUGGCGAAGGCAGGUCUCUGGGCCAUUACUGACACUGAGAAGCGAAAGCAUGGGGAGCGAACAGG
rnacentral:rRNA from 1 species